rnacentral:rRNA from 1 species
UGCGUAGGCGGUUUUCUAAGUCACGUGUGAAAUCUUCCGGCUCAACCGGAAAACUGCGCGUGAUACUGGAUAACUUGAGUGAGGUAGGGGUGUGUGGAACUUCCGGUGGAGCGGUGAAAUGUGUAGAGAUCGGAAGGAACGCCAGCAGCGAAAGCGGCACACUGGGCCUUUUCUGACGCUGAGGCACGAAAGCUAGGGGAGUGAACGGGAUUAGAUACCCCGGUAAUCCUAGCCGUAAACACUGAACACUGGAGGAAGGGGGCUUCGGCCUUCUUUCUCGUAGCGAAAGCGUUAAGUGUUCCGCCUGGGGAGUAUGGUCGCAAGGCUGAA